UUAUUUGCCAUCUGCUAAAUUUUCAUGAUCCGUUAAAGGGGUUCAGACUUCAAUUUGCAUUGGGCAGUAGAUAAACCAAGAAACAUUUUUAUGUGUGUGCAUGCCUUUUGGAGUGGUGAUCAUGGAAGGAGGAUGACCUGAACAGAACUGUUUCUUUUCUUUGGCUUCCUUGUAAAUGUCCGUGCCUGAAACAAGACCCCUCCAAGAGCAGUCAGUCUGUAAUAAGAGCACAUUCCUAACUACUUGAGCUGAUAAAUAGUGAAGUUUGUUUUUAAAAAGUCAGGUUUGUUUUAUGUCGAUUUUCUAUUUGCCUUGUAUAAGAUAUAUUUAAUUACUUUAUUCCAUCUCCGUGUUCAAAUUAAUCAGAUUCUGACUACAUAUUGGUGUUCAAAUUAGAAUAAUUCUUUAAUCAACUGUGUCAUCCCCGCCAUGGUAGACUAGAAUGGAAAAGCUACUCUUGGCAUAUUGAAGACGUGUGCAUUUUAUUUUCUAUUGUAAUUUAAAAGUAAAAUCAGAAAUAUUGAUUUCUACUUGACUGGAGAGAUGAUUUAGUUUGAAUAUCAGUCUGAUCUUAAUCAGGUGAGAAUUAAUUGAGUUGGAGGUAUUAGAUAUUCAGUGAUGUUAAGUGAACCAUGGUCAAUCUAGAGAGAAGCUUUCUUUUGUACUAUGUUAGAAUUAUCAAAUAGCCUAUGCGCCACCAUGUAAAAUCAUCUUUUCAUGUUCAUCUUUCUUGUCUCAUUAAAUGCACCACUAAAUUCAUUCCGUACCCAGUCUAAUCUUUAAAGCAGCAAGCUAAUAAACCACAAUUUAAUAGAAAAUUAAAAGUGUAAUAAUUUUGUCAUAAAAUGCUAUUGUGGUCAGAAUUUUCUAGUGAUAUAUUUUCUAGUACCUAAUUUUAAAAACCAAGUGAUAAAACCUCUGUUUUUCAAGCAUACCUGGGACUUAAAAAAAUUAGUUUUACUUUUUUUCUAAUAUUCAACACUGCAAGAAUCAAGUGAACAAUACAGAAUGAUUUUAAUGUUUAUUUCCAGAAAUAGAGUAUGUAGCAUUAUAUUGGUCCACCACACGGCAUGGGCUUUUUAUUUAUUUUAAGAGUGUGAUAGCAAUAUCAUAAGUGUUGUGAAAAUAUAAAUGGUGAGAUAACACCUCCAUAGGACUCGCCCUUAAGUAGUAAAAUUGUAAAGUCUUUAAAUAACCUGCAGCCUGAACGGAAAGGAUGGAUUUGCCUUGUUAACUAGGGACACUACACUUAUUAAAUGUCUAAUUAAAUUUA